ensembl:rRNA 5S_rRNA 5S ribosomal RNA
GUUUACGGCCAUACCAGCCUGGGUACGCCCGAUCUCGUCUGAUCUCGGAAGCUAAGCAGGGUCGGGCCUGGUUAGUACUUGGAUGGGAGACCACCUGGUAAUACCAGGUGCUGUAAGCU